UACAGAGGUGGCGAGCGUUGUUCGGAUUUACUGGGCGUAAAGGGUGCGUAGGUGGUCGCUUAUGUCGGGUGUGAAAUCCCACGGCUCAACCGUGGAAUGGCAUUCGAAACUGGGCGGCUAGAGUGCAGGAGGGGAGAGCGGAAUUCUUGGUGUAGCGGUGAAAUGCGUUGAUAUCAAGAAGAACACCGGUGGCGAAGGCGGCUCUCUGGAAUGCUACUGACACUGAGGCACGAAAGCUGGGGGAGCAAACAGG
rnacentral:rRNA from 1 species